GCCCGGGCCCCACCUGGGAUCCGCCCGUGGCCGGCGUCCGCUCCCCGGAGCCCGGCCCCCGCGAGGCCCGAGCGGCCGCGUCGCUGGAAGUCGGCGAAGUCUAAGCCGGGAGUUCGGUGCCUCAAGGCACGUAGGAAGCGUGCGAGAGGGCAGAGGAGUGCGCAGCUGAGGGCCUGCGGGCAGCAGGGGAGCUUCAAAGAGCCCGGGAUAUUUGAUUUGCACCUGAGAGGUCACCAGCAUGAACCGAAAUGAAGACUUCCCUUGGAAAACCUUGCAUGAGAGGCUUUACACAUCCUCUGCAGCUUUCCAGAAGCCGCUCUGAUGUAUCUACUCGCACCUUACUAUCACUGCCCAUUCCAGGUCUCACCUGAGCGGACACUGCUAACUGAGCCCAAUUAGCAUGGAAAGAAGCUCCACACAUGGGGGGAUUUAAGUUCUGUUGACUGAGAGGAAUACAUUCAUGUUACAGUACUGUUCUGAGGAAAGACUCCGUAAUUUAAUUCUCAGUCUCCAGAGGGAUACAGUAGGGAAACACAGAUGAAGAUGAUGGCCACCAAGAAUAGAUUCUGGUGAGGACAAAUUAAGUAACUUUGCACUUGAUCUGAACUGAGGGGCCACCUGUCUUUCAGGGUGCUGUGGAAUUAUACUACCCAGAAAAUUUCAGAUACUGUUCAUAUAACAUUACUGUUGCAUACUUUUUACUCCAUGCAAGACCGCCUAUUUGCAUAAAAGAAGAAAAAGUCUGUUAGAUAAAGAGAAGAGUUUAAGGUCUUGCUUUCCAGAGGAAUGGUUUUGAAUUGUCUUCAAAACACAACACAAAACAAAAACCUCAUUUUACUGUCACAGUACAAAUCAUUUUUAGAACAUGCACUGAAAUUUAUUUUUUCCCCCUGAUGAACUGUCUUUAAGAGUUUAAAAGAAUCUUACUGUUAUCUAUGUAUGCACUCUGCACUAAAGUGGUGAGCUAUUUUUAAGUAUAGAUCUGUAAUUGUUUGCUGAUCAUUUUAUUUUGCAUGGGCAUAAAAAUCUUAUAUUUUGGAUUAAAAAACUCUAUAAGGUGGAAAAAGGAAAAAA